UAUCCGUACCGAAGAGCGUCAUUGAGUUC
rnacentral:sRNA from 1 species